GGGCAAUGCCUUGCACUUACUGCUUUUCAACCAAUAAACGAUGCUCUUUGAUUCUGAUAUGAUGGAGGGCAAAUUGCCCCUACAAGCAAGGAUGUGUUGCCACCACCAAAGGAAACAGGAGUCUGAAGAGCACAAGUCAAGAAAACAAAGGCUGAUCUGAUGGAAAGGUGGGCAUUUGUUUCAAUUCAAUAAAAUAGCCUCUGUUUUCUCCAUUUAUACCUGCCACAUACAUAAGGCUUAAUGGUACACUUAGCACAAUUUAAACAAGAAGAAAUUUUUGGGAGGACAUUCAUGGAUUUUGAUACUGAAACAGAAGAGCUUGUUUGCA
rnacentral:lncRNA from 1 species